CCGCCGCCAGCUCCCCUCCGCUGCCGCCCCCACUGCCGAUGCCACGACCGCCCCUCUCCUCCGUAACUUCGCCCCGGAUGAGCCCCGCAAAGGCGCCGACAUCCUAGUCGAGGCCCUUGAGCGGGAGGGCGUCACCGACCUUUUCGCCUACCCCGGCGGCGCCUCCAUGGAGAUCCAUCAGGCUCUCACCCGCUCGCCAUCUAUCACCAACCACCUCCUCCGGCACGAGCAGGGGGAGGUCUUCGCUGCCUCUGGAUACGCCCGCUCCACUGGUCGCCCUGGCGUGUGCAUCGCCACCUCCGGCCCUGGCGCCACCAAUCUCGUCUCCGGUCUCGCCGAUGCCCUCCUUGACUCCGUCCCUCUCGUCGCCAUCACCGGCCAGGUCCCUCGCCGCAUGAUCGGCACCGACGCUUUCCAGGAGACCCCCAUCGUUGAGGUCACCAGAUCCAUCACCAAGCAC
rnacentral:lncRNA from 1 species